rnacentral:rRNA from 1 species
GGGUGCGAGUAGAGCGGCGGACGGGUGAGUAACGCGUAGGAAUCUACCUAGUAGAAGGGGAUAGCCCGGGGAAACUCGGAUUAAUACCGUAUACCUCCUCAGGGAGAAAGAGGGCUUAGCUUUGAUGCUCUCGCUAUUAGAUGAGCCUGCGUAAGAUUAGCUUGUUGGUGAGGUAAUGGCUCACCAAGGCGACGAUCUUUAGCUGGUCUGAGAGGACGAUCAGCCACAUUGGGACUGAGACACGGCCCAGACUCCUACGGGAGGCAGCAGUGGGGAAUAUUGGACAAUGGGCGCAAGCCUGAUCCAGCCAUACCGCGUGUGUGAAGAAGGCUUUCGGGUUGUAAAGCACUUUAAGUAAGGAGAAAAAGAUUGUAGUUAAUACCUGCAAUCCGUGAUGUUACUUACAGAAUAAGGACCGGCUAAUUCUGUGCCAGCAGCCGCGGUAAUACGGAAGGUCCAAGCGUUAAUCGGAAUUACUGGGCGUAAAGCGCGCGUAGGUGGUUUUUUAAGUUGGAUGUGAAAGCCCUGGGCUCAACCUAGGAACUGCAUCCAAAACUAGAUGACUAGAGUACGAAAGAGGGAGGUAGAAUUCACAGUGUAGCGGUGGAAUGCGUAGAUAUUGUGAAGAAUACCAAUGGGCGAAGGCAGCCUCCUGGUUCUGUACUGACACUAAGGUGCGAAAGCGUGGGUAGCGAACAGGAUUAGAUACCCUGGUAGUCCACGCCGUAAACGAUGACAACUAGCUGUUGGGAGACAAGAUCUCUCAGUGGCGCAGCUAACGCUUCAAGUUGUCCGCCUGGGGAGUACGGCCGCAAGGUUAAAACUCAAAUGAAUUGACGGGGACCCGCACAAGCGGUGGAGCAUGUGGUUUAAUUCGAUGCAACGCGAAAACCUUACCUA